GACGAACGCUUGCGGCGUGCCUAAGAAAUGCAAGUCGAACGGGAGCUUCGGCUCUAGUGGCGAACGGUCGCGUAACACGUGGGCAACCUGCCUCGAAGCGGGGGACAACAUUCCGAAAGGAUUGCUAAUACCGCAUAUGAACGUUGAGGGCAUCCUCUGUGUUCAAAGACUUCGGUCACUUCGAGAUGGGCCCGCGGCCUAUCAGCUAGUUGGUGGGGUAACGGCCUACCAAGGCUUCGACGGGUAGCUGGUCUGAGAGGACGGCCAGCCGGAUUGG
rnacentral:rRNA from 1 species